rnacentral:lncRNA from 10 species
UUGAAGUGGUCAACAGUGGGAGAUUCAUGGGAAGAUUCUCCAGAAGCUAAGAUGCUAUAGAAAUGAGGGGGAGAAAAAUAUCUUGUCCGCUGGUCCUUAAAAGGUCUCAAACCUUUGGGCUUGAAGUGAUGGAACCUGGAACAACUCAAGAAUUGGAUCUUUCUAGCUAAAUGAGACCCUUAGAUCAUACAUAACCUGGGACAGGCUUGUGAGGAUUCAGUUCCCUCUCUUGUCUCCUGCCCUGGGAGAAACAUUUCAGAAAGGGCUUUGUUCCUCUACAGUGAGUGGAUGGAAGGAGACAUGCUCCAAUAGGGAGGGCCAUCUCUCUCUGGCAUUUUUUUAAAAUUUUUAAUUUUUGUGGGUACAUAGUAGAUGUAUAUGUUUGUGGGGUACAUGAGAUAUUUUGAUAUAGGCAUGCAAUGUGUGAUAAUCAUAUCAGGCAAGGUAAAUGGGUAUGUAUCUCCUCAAGCAUUUAUCCUUUCUUUCUGUUACAAGCAAUCCAAUUAUACUAUUUUAGUUAUUUUAAAAUGUACAAUUAAAUUAUUAUUGACUGUAGUCAACCUGUUGUUCCAUCAUAUACUAGGCCUUACUCUUUCUAACAUUUUUUUUGUACCCAUUAACCAUCCCCACUCUCCCACCAUCCCACUACUUCACUACCCAUUCCA